rnacentral:rRNA from 1 species
UACGUAGGGUGCAAGCGUUAAUCGGAAUUACUGGGCGUAAAGCGUGCGCAGGCGGUUAUGUAAGACAGGUGGGAAAUCCCCGGGCUUAACCUGGGAACUGCAUUUGUGACUGCAUAGCUAGAGUACGGCAGAGGGGGAUGGAAUUCCGCGUGUAGCAGUGAAAUGCGUAGAUAUGCGGAGGAACACCGAUGGCGAAGGCAAUCCCCUGGGCCUGUACUGACGCUCAUGCACGAAAGCGUGGGGAGCAAACGGG